AAACCCGGCGACCCGAUUAGGGAACAGCUACACACGGGAAGCCCGUUACUAGGGACCGAUCCCCCACUAUAAAAUAUGGUAAAAAAAUGUAUUUUUUAAUUUCUAUCUAAUCUCCUUUCUUCCAAUAAAACUCAAAUCUUCCCCCACAAAUUGAAAUUUUUGAUUUUGGGUUUUGGAUUCUCCAACCAAAAACCCUACAAAACCAUUCAGUUCUCAUCCUUGCUUAUCGAAGCAGAAGAUCUUUGUCGACAGAGAGAGCAUCGUCAACGGAGAGGUGUUUUCGCUACAAAUUUACGAGGAAGAAAAUAUAUCCUUAAAUGGGUAUUUAGGCGAUAGAUUUGAUUUCUCCUCCGUUUUUCGAGUAGUGUGCUUUUUUUUUUUUUUUUGAAUUAGUCAAGAGACGAACAUGAGUCGUCACCAUCACCAUCACCAUCAUGGAGAUAGCCCAUACGACGAUCCCUUCUUGGCGUGUUGUUGCUGUCCUUGCUUCCUUGUAUCUUCCAUAUUUAGGGGAAUUGGAGGAUGCUUAUACGCUGCUUGUUACCCUUUUUUGAGGUGCUUCGGAUUGGACGAGAUGGGAGACCACCAUCACCACCACCACCACCAUUUCCAUUGAUCCUAAGGUUAUAAGAUUUGAUCACCCGCUGGUGCAGGCUCUUUUGUUUAGUUUUCCAUUUCCAUAAAUUCUUUCAAUUGGAAAGAAAAUUCCAAAGACUAUUUUCGUUGCAUGCAAAAGAACAAUAUGUAGUAUGUAAUAGAAUUUUUCUAUGACUCAGAGAGUUCGAGAUGAACUUUCAUUAUCUGGGUUCCAUUUUACAGCAUCUCAUUCAUUUA